CCACGCACAUUCCAGCCCGGCUCAAGGGACCACUUGGGGGGAAGAAGGGGGGGUUGACGAAGCCAAAUUAUUCUCUGUCUUCAAAUGGCAGGGUUCGGCGCGGUGCCGCUGGCCGGAGCACCCUCUCCGCAGCCGGCACGGAGCGCCUGCGUGCAUCCAGCCCGCCGCCAAGUGACACGCAUUUUCCAUUCCCUGGGCUUCAUUACUUCUUGGAACGCAGACCGCAUGCGUCGGGCCGCGAGGGGCUUCGCUUCCCUCCGUGUUUAUUUUCACUGCCGUGUGUUCUUUUGCCAGAUGUGGACGCAGGCAUGGGAAAUCAAAGAAAUUUACCCACGGUCGUUGGCAGAGCCACCGCUAUGAAUAAUUUCCCGAUUUCCACUGACAACUGGAAUGCCCUCUAGCCCGUCCGCUGCCUCCAGAUGUGCGACGGCUUGAAAAAUUACACGGCCCUGCGACGCUUGGCCCAGGCUACAGCGAUGGCUGUGCCAGGAUGCCGAGCAUGUGUCAGGAUGCGUCGUGGAAAAGGCAUCGUGGACACCCGGACGAGCUCUGACAACAAAACUGCACCCUCUGGAGGGUACUGUUGCUCUUGCACAAAGUGUUUUUUUUUUGUGAUAAAACCUUGGAGGGCUGGGGUUGAAU